UCACUUGUCUCGCUGGCCGCCGAUCCUUAUCUAGGAAGGGCCGGGCAACCGGCUACGUCGGUAGAGUAUCUUAUGGAAUAGGCGUUUCGGACCCGGGGGGCAGUACCCCGGCGCCUCCACCACCAGCCGCUGGAAAACACAGCGAAAUCAAGCGGUUGAUGAUGGGGGCGAAAUAGGAUCGACGAGCGCAAUAAAGAUAAGGUUGCCGAUCGGCAUGAGACCACCGUGACGGCUCAUUUUCACAAGUGCCAACGAUAACGAGGCGCUCGCUAUUGCUGCGUAACCGACACGGCUAACGCCUUAAGGUUACAAUGAAAUAAGCGCGGUCGGACCCCACCGGGCAACAGAAGGGGAUUCCAGCGGUUUGGGGGGUACCGGGCAACAGAAACCCCCCACU
rnacentral:tmRNA from 1 species